UACGGGGGGGGCAAGCGUUGUUCGGAAUUACUGGGCGUAAAGGGUUCGUAGGUGGCCUACUAAGUCAGACGUGAAAUCCCUCAGCUUAACUGGGGAACUGCGUCUGAUACUGGUAGGCUUGAGUGCAGGAGAGGAACGCGGAAUUCCAGGUGUAGCGGUGAAAUGCGUAGAUAUCUGGAGGAACACCGGUGGCGAAGGCGGCGUUCUGGACUGCAACUGACACUGAGGAACGAAAGCCAGGGGAGCAAACGGG
rnacentral:rRNA from 1 species